rnacentral:rRNA from 1 species
UAAUAGCGUAUAUUAAUGUUGUUGCAGUUAAAAAGCUCGUAGUUGGAUUUUGGUGUUUGACAAAUGGUCUGCCUUCGGGUUUGCACUGUUUGUUGGCACUUCUUUUCUGGGGAACUCACUGCUCUUAAUUGAGGGGUGCUGUAACGCAGAUCGUUUACUGUGAGAAAAUUAGAGUGUUCAAAGCAGGCUUAUGCCUUGGAUAUGUUAGCAUGGAAUAAUAAGAUAAGACUUUGGCGGUCUAUUUUGUUGGUUUGCACGCCAUUGUAAUGAUUGAUAGGGACAGUUGGGGGUAUUCAUAUUUAAUUGUCAGAGGUGAAAUUCUUGGAUUUAUGAAAGAUGAACUACUGCGAAAGCAUUUACCAAGGAUGUUUUCAUAAUCAAGAACGAAAGUUAGGGGAUCGAAGACGAUUAGAUACCAU